rnacentral:lncRNA from 1 species
UCUGCUGUAUCUACCAUAUCUCCGAGUCAAUCUCCACCUUCCUUGAUCGAACCGGAGGGGGAAUCCCGUCCUUUUCCCGAAUGCUCGUCCCAUCCCCCCUCGGCGCAGGAAUAAAAAAAAAUCGCCGCUCGGCGGCAGAUCGAAGCGUCGCGUCAAACAAAACGAAACGACGAAAAAUUAAACAGGACAAAGCAUGAAAGUCCCCACC